GCGUUGCGACUGCAGGACCUCUGAGGAUGGCGCAGUUUCCUUCGUUUUCCCUUGCAGGCAAUGUGAACCAAAGAGUAGAAAGGGAACCAACAUUAAACCAGAGAAUCACAUCAAAGCAGCAAAUUCUACCCAAACCAAAUUGAAGCAAGGGAAUGGAAUCCCCACAGAACCAAAGUGAAGCCAGGAGACCAACAUCAAACUGGAGAAUCAUGUUGAAACAGUGAAUUCCAGGUAACCAAAACAAAAACAGAAGCUUGAAAUAAUUGCUCCCAGCAGCACAAGGAAAGAUUCUGUUCAAGGACCCUAUCCUACAGAGCACUGUGGGUAUUGUUUUUUUAAAAAAGCAGGCACCUUUUUGAAGCUUAUUCUAACCUAAUUAAGUUCCUGUUUCCCCUUGGGCCGGGCACUUGCAUGAGAUAACAGCUGCAGAGCGGUAAGGAGACACAUGAAGGACAAAAUAUUGGUUAGCAGUUGCUAUUUUCAACCUUGCCAGAAUAAACAAAGAAGAGCUUCGCACCUGCAGUCGUUGCUUUUGAGAAGUCAGCAUAAUUUGUACAUAAUUUUGGGAGAAGUGGGCAGCUAAAAGAAAGAAGAAUGGACAGUCAUCCAUUAGCCAUUUUAAUGGCAGUGGAGAGUUUCUCCAUCUGCAGCUGCAUGGAGAUAACAAAUGCCUUCAGAAAGGCAUGAAUAAACAAAAGAAUUCAAUGUCUUGAGAUUAUUAAUGCACCUUGGGGUA